UGUCGUGAUCAGAAUUUGAAUCUGGGUUAUUUCGGCCACAACACAAUGUUCUAACCACUAGACGAUCACGCC